rnacentral:rRNA from 1 species
UAGUCGGAGGUGUGUCUCGGACGGUUGGUUCGCUGCUUGUCGGUGCUUAACUGGCCGGUCCGGACGUCCUGCCGGUGGGGAUGUCAAAAGUCUCCGUUAUCCUUCUUUGGUGCUCUUCACUGAGUGCCCUGGUGGGCCGGCACGUUUACUUUGAACAAAUUAGAGUGCUCAAAGCAGGCCGUUGGUCGCCUGAAUACUGUGUGCAUGGAAUAAUGGAAUAGGACCUCGGUUCCAUUUUGUUGGUUUUCAGAACUCGAGGUAAUGAUUAAUAGGGACGGACGGGGGCAUUCGUAUUGCGACGUUAGAGGUGAAAUUCUUGGAUCGUCGCAAGACGAACCGAUGCGAAAGCAUUUGCCAAGAACGUUUUCGUUGAUCAAGAACGAAAGUUAGAGGUUCGAAGGCGAUCAGAUACCGCCCUAGUUCUAACCAUAAACGAUGCCAGCUAGCCAUCCGCCGAAGUUCCUUCUAUGACUCGGCGGGCAGCUUCCGGGAAACCAAAGCUCUUGGGUUCCGGGGGAAGUAU